rnacentral:lncRNA from 1 species
CUCAAUCCCCAUCCCAUCUUAUCUCUAUCUCCCUCUCCACACUACAACCUAAACCUGGGUCACCAGCCGCCACUGUCGUCCCCGGGCAUGCCUCCCUCGAAGACAGAGCAAAGGUGAGAAUUCACCGUAUCAAAAAAUCACCAGAUUUAGUCUCAGCUUUAACAAUUUCACAGUCGGUCGUGCAUGUGUUGCUAUGACAUCUUGUGCCAUUUGGAUUGAAAUUUGGUAGGGUGUGAGUGCACGGAAGGAGGUGAGCAACUUGAUUUCUUCAAGAUUACAGGUUCAGCUCUCUUAUGUGAUUCGGCAUUCUCCAGCACUACAGAGUCACCAUUCAGGAUUCAACUUAAUUUUGUCGGUUACAUGGUCUGUUCAGCACAGGUGGAGGUAAGUACAGUUUCAGCAUUCAACUAAUUUUGGCCAUACAUAAACACCGUGAUGCUUCAAAAAAUUGCUUUGUUUUUGUGUUUGGAUCAAGUUGGCAUUUGCUUCAACUGAAAAUUAUUGUACUAUGCACUUUACUAAAGCUGAUCUAGCAAAAGUGCCACUUUACUUAAGUAGAUCCAGCAUUGUUCUAACCGAAAAUUAUCUAUUCAGUUAACUUGUGUUGAAGAAUUAACUGAACUUUUGUUCAAAAGUUAACAGAAUUUGUGUUGAAGAGUUAACUGAAUGCAUCAAUAGAUCUGAAUACAGUUAACGGAUUUUUUGUAUCACCAUUGCUACAUUUCAGCAUGACAACUCAAGUCAACUAACUCAACUCAAUUCAGCAAUUAUCUUGUAGGUUUAGUAAUUAUAUUUGCACGUUCAACAACUAUUUUUGCAAGUUCUACUCCACCACCAGAUAAUUCAGCAGGAGCACCUUUGUUGAUCAUUGUUGAAUAGCAGGAGUAGCACACGCGGGUGGGGCAGAUUCACCAGCACCACUAGCAGCAGAAUUGGGGCAAGGGACAAGGAAAAAAGCAUCAUCGAAGGUCCACGUCGGUGUCGCCCAUUAGCAGUACCAGCAUCAGAGGAAGGAGAGGCAGGAGUGGCCGGAAUUGUUUGUGGUGUCGACAGACGAAGCGAACGAAGUCGGGGGCGCAUGUGGCGGCCCCGUGCGCGGCUAAGGUUAGUAUGCGGAACCUGUAGCGGAUAAAUUCUGCUUAUGCUAAUAGUCUACAUCGUACUUUGAUAUUGAUGUUGAAUACAUGCUGCCAAUUUGUUCUGCAUUCGGUAAUAUGCGAGUGAAUUAAGUGUUGUUUCUUUUCAGGCUAAUAAAGCAUCAUUGUGCACUUCUGGAACAACUAUCAUGGAAGUAUGGAACUAAUGCUAGCAAAACUACCCUGUGUAGUCACCCGAAGAAAAAUAUGAACUUUAUUUUCCAAUGCGGCUAGAUAAAGAUCUAGUAGAAAAGAUAACGUAAUUCGUUUCUAGUCUACUACACCUUAUAUGUCUAGUUGUACAAAUGCAGCUUCUAUAUAAUCAAAUAUUCUCAAUUGGAAUAUAUUUUUUCAGUUGAGCUACUCAACUUGCUGACAGGAAAACAUGCUCAGGUUAACAACUUGAAAUUUUAUAUUAUAUUAAAACUAUGGGUUCAUAAAAAGAGAGAUGUCCUAGCAGACUAAUGUUGCUAAUAGUUGGAGCCACUCCAUGUUACACUGUCCUUUGAGACUGGCCUAUCCAGUUCACAAAUCACUCACCGUUCAUGAUGGUGUCUAAGUGUCGGAGGUAUAUGUUUGGUGGUGUUAUUUGUUGUCAUUCAAAUCAAUAAAUAGAAGAAAGAAUUGCCUCCGGCAGCGAAAGGUGACCAUUGUUACUUGUAGCUUCUUGAGAGCCUUUAGAGUUGUGACUUCAUUAGUUGCUUCUCGUUUCACCGACGAAGGGUACUAAUUAGACUUGAGAACCGAGUAGUGACUUCAUUAAGGACCUGCCUUUAUCAGGCAUUCUUUAUAUAUAAGCCAAAGAAUAAAAACAUAUAUACUCAAAGUUGUCAGAAUCGCGAUUCUGAAUCGGAUCGGAAAGUCUUCAAUAGAAUCGAGUUGUAGAAUCUAAGAUUCUACUUGAUUCUACACGUACAAUACUGAUACUUCUCCAACGUAUCUAUAAUUUAUGAGGUAUUCAUGCCAUUUUUACAAUAAUUUUACAUGAUUUUGGUAUGAUUUUAUUAGAACUAA